CCUGUGAACCCGACAUCCACGCUGUGCUCAGAGAGAUGAGCGCCUCACUGGCUGCACAGACAGUUGAGAUACAACACUUACAGAGACAGAAUGAAGAAAAGUUGAGAGAAAUGGACCAGCUGAAGCAACAGCUACAAGUGCAGGCAGACAAGCUGAGGGAGAUGGAAAUGCAG